CCUCGGGCGGCUGCAGUGGGGAAUAUUGGACAAUGGGGGGAACCCUGAUCCAGCCAUGCCGCGUGUGUGAAGAAGGCCCUCGGGUUGUAAAGCACUUUCAGUGAGGAAGAACGCCUGGUGGUUAAUACCCAUCAGGAAAGACAUCACUCACAGAAGAAGCACCGGCUAACUCCGUGCCAGCAGCCGCGGUAAUACGGAGGGUGCGAGCGUUAAUCGGAAUUACUGGGCGUAAAGCGCGCGUAGGUGGCUUGAUAAGCCGGUUGUGAAAGCCCCGGGCUCAACCUGGGAACGGCAUCCGGAACUGUCAAGCUAGAGUGCAGGAGAGGAAGGUAGAAUUCCCGGUGUAGCGGUGAAAUGCGUAGAGAUCGGGAGGAAUACCAGUGGCGAAGGCGGCCUUCUGGACUGACACUGACACUGAGGUGCGAAAGCGUGGGUAGCAAACAGGAUUAGAUACCCGUGUAGUC
rnacentral:rRNA from 1 species